CCUACGGAAGGCAGCAGUGAGGAAUAUUGGUCAAUGGACGAGAGUCUGAACCAGCCAAGUAGCGUGAAGGAUGACUGCCCUAUGGGUUGUAACCUUCUUUUAUAAAGGAAUAAAACGAGGCACGCGUGACUUUUUGCAUGUACUUUAUGAAUAAGAAUCGGCUAACUCCGUGCCAGCAGCGGCGGUAAUACGGAGGAUCCGAGCGUUAUCCGGAUUGAUUGGGUUUAAAGGGAGCGUAGAUGGGUUGUUAAGUCAGUUGUGAAAGUUUGCGGCUCAACCGUAAAAUUGCAAUUGAUACUGGCAGUCUUGAGUACAGUUGAGGUAGGCGGAAUUCGUGGUGUAGCGGUGAAAUGCUUAGAUAUCACGAAGAACUCCGAUUGCGAAGGCAGCUUACUAAACUGCCACUGACAUUGAUGCUCGAAAGUGUGGGUAUCAAACAGGAUUAGAUACCCGGGUAGUC
rnacentral:rRNA from 1 species